rnacentral:rRNA from 5 species
GUGACCUGCGGAGGGAUCAUUA